GGGGGGCCUUGGAAGGGGUGUGGAGGUACAGGGGGCAGGGCUGGGGUGGGAGGACACUGGGGGGGCCUUGGAAGGGGUGAGGAGGUACAAGGGGCAGGGCUGGGGUGGGAGGACACUGGGGGGGCCAUGGAAGGGGUGGAGAGGUACAGGGGGCAGGGCUGGGGUGGGAGGACACUGGGGGGACCAUGGAAGAGGUGGAGAGGUACAGGGGGCAGGGCCGGGGUGGGAGGACACUGGGGGGGCCAUGGAAGGGGUGGGGAGAUACAGAGGACAGGGCCGGGGUGGGAGGACACUGGGGGGACCAUGGAAGAGGUGGAGAGGUACAGGGGGCAGGGCUGGGGUGGGAGGACACUGGGGGGGCCAUGGAAGGGGUGGGGAGGUACAGGGGGCAGGGCUGGGGUGGGAGGACACUGGGGGGGGCAUGGAAGGGGUGGGGAGGUACAGGGGACAGGGCUGGGGUAAGAGGUCCUGGGGGGAAGAAACAGGGCUGGUGG